UACGGAGGGGGCUAGCGUUGUUCGGAAUUACUGGGCGUAAAGCGCACGUAGGCGGCUUCGCAAGUCAGGGGUGAAAGCCCGGGGCUUAACCCCGGAACUGCCUUUGAGACUGCGUCGCUUGAAUCCGGGAGAGGCGGGUGGAAUUCCCGGUGUAGAGGUGGAAUGCGUAGAGAUUCGGAAGAACACCAGUGGCGAAGGCGGCCUGCUGGACCGGUAUUGACGCUGAGGUGCGAAAGCGUGGGGAGCAAACAGG
rnacentral:rRNA from 1 species